rnacentral:rRNA from 1 species
AUUGAACGCUGGCGGCAUGCCUUACACAUGCAAGUCGAACGGCAGCACGGGUGCUUGCACCUGGUGGCGAGUGGCGGACGGGUGAGUAAGACAUCGGAACAUGUCCCGAAGUGGGGGAUAGCCCGGCGAAAGCCGGAUUAAUACCGCAUACGAACUACGGAUGAAAGCGGGGGACCGUCGGGCCUCGCGCUAGCGGGUUGGCCGAUGGCUGAUUAGCUAGUUGGUGGGGUAAAGGCCUACCAAGGCGACGAUCAGUAGCUGGUCUGAGAGGACGACCAGCCACACUGGAACUGAGACACGGCCCAGACUCCUACGGGAGGCAGCAGUGGGGAAUUUUGGACAAUGGGCGAAAGCCUGAUCCAGCAAUGCCGCGUGUGUGAAGAAGGCCUUCGGGUUGUAAAGCACUUUUGUCCGGAAAGAAAUCCUUGGCUCUAAUACAGUCGGGGGAUGACGGUACCGGAAGAAUAAGCACCGGCUAACUACGUG